GAUGAACGCUAGCUACAGGCUUAACACAUGCAAGUCGCGGGGCAGCAUGGGGGAUGCUUGCAACCCCCGAUGGCGACCGGCGCACGGGUGAGUAACGCGUAUCCAACCUGCCCUUCACCACGGGAUAACCCGGCGAAAGUCGGACUAAUACCGUAUGUUGUCCAUUGACGGCAUCCGAUUUGGACUAAAGGGUUGGCGGGGAAGGGGGAGGAUGCGUCCGAUUAGCUUGACGGGGGGGAAAGGGCCCACCGGGGCGAUGAUCGGUAGGGGUGGUGAGAGGAAGGUCCCCCACACUGGAGCUGGGCCACGGUCAAGGGUACUACGAGAGGCAGCAGUGAGGAAUAUUAGUCAAUAGGCGUAAGCCUGAACCAGCCAAGUAGCGUGCAGGACAGCGGCCCUGUGGGUUGUAAACUGGUUUUAUGCGGGGAUAAAGUGGCCAACGUGUAGGCUUUUGCAGGUACCGGAUGAAUAAGGACCGGCUAAUUCCGUG
rnacentral:rRNA from 1 species